rnacentral:rRNA from 1 species
GAUGAACGCUGGCGGCGUGCUUAACACAUGCAAGUCGAACGGAAAGGCCCAAGCUUGCUUGGGUACUCAAGUGGCGAACGGGUGAGUAACACGUGGGUGAUCUGCCCUGCACUUCGGGAUAAGCCUGGGAAACUGGGUCUAAUACCGGAUAGGACGAUGGUUUGGAUGCCAUUGUGGAAAGUUUUUUCGGUGUGGGAUGAGCUCGCGGCCUAUCAGCUUGUUGGUGGGGUAAUGGCCUACCAAGGCGUCGACGGGUAGCCGGCCUGAGAGGGUGUACGGCCACAUUGGGACUGAGAUACGGCCCAGACUCCUACGGGAGGCAGCAGUGGGGAAUAUUGCACAAUGGGCGCAAGCCUGAUGCAGCGACGCCGCGUGGGGGAUGACGGCCUUCGGGUUGUAAACUCCUUUCGCUAGGGACGAAGCGUGUUUGUGACGGUACCUGGAGAAGAAGCACCGGCUAACUACGUG